rnacentral:rRNA from 1 species
UACGUAGGGGGCGAGCGUUGUCCGGAAUUAUUGGGCGUAAAGAGCGUGUAGGCGGUUCGGUAAGUCUGCCGUGAAAGCCUGGGGCUCAACCCCGGGCGUGCGGUGGAUACUGCCGGGCUAGAGGGUGGUAGAGGCGAGUGGAAUUCCCGGUGUAGCGGUGAAAUGCGCAGAUAUCGGGAGGAACACCAGUAGCGAAGGCGGCUCGCUGGGCCAUUCCUGACGCUGAGACGCGAAAGCUAGGGGAGCGAACAGG